GAUGAACGCUGGCGGCGUGCCUAAUACAUGCAAGUCGAGCGAACAGACGAGGAGCUUGCUCCUCUGACGUUGGCGGCGGACGGGUGAGUAACACGUGGAUAACCUACCUAUAAGACUGGGAUAACUUCGGGAAACCGGAGCUAAUACCGGAUAAUAUAUUGAACCGCAUGGUUCAAUAGUGAAAGACGGUUUUGCUGUCACUUAUAGAUGGAUCCGCGCCGCAUUAGCUAGUUGGUAAGGUAACGGCUUACCAAGGCGUCGAUGCGUAGCCGACCUGAGAGGGUGAUCGGCCACACUGGAACUGAGACACGGUCCAGACUCCUACGGGAGGCAGCAGUAGGGAAUCUUCCGCAAUGGGCGAAAGCCUGACGGAGCAACGCCGCGUGAGUGAUGAAGGUCUUCGGAUCGUAAAACUCUGUUAUUAGGGAAGAACAAAUGUGUAAGUAACUAUGCACGUCUUGACGGUACCUAAUCAGAAAGCCACGGCUAACUACGUG
rnacentral:rRNA from 1 species